rnacentral:tRNA from 3 species
GCCCGGGUGGUGGAAUUGGUAGACACAAGGGACUUAAAAUCCCUCGAUCGCAAGGUCAUACGGGUUCGAUCCCCGUCCCGGGCACCA